rnacentral:lncRNA from 1 species
GCAUUUGGGGGUUUAAAUCUAAGUUUUUUUUCCUGUUUUCUCAAUUUAUAAACAGACAAUUUUAGACCUGAUAAUAUAUUGAAAUGAGAGUCCAUAAUGUUAAAUGUAACUCAUCUUCCCAUUUUUACUUAUCAAGAGUAAAACAGCAGAUGCCAUGACUAAAGCAGAGAAACAGCUUUCCCUCACAGAGCAUCCUGCGAUGAAAUGGAAUUUGUGUUGGUUAAUCUUAGUGUUCUGUGUAGCUAACAACAGGUUUUUUGUAAUUUUUCUUUAGGCUAAUUAGGUCUUUCCACUUUUCUGUGGAAAGACCUAUUGUUUUUCUUCUGAUUAUUUUUUUUUUCUUCCGCCAAAUUUUGUUCUUGCGAUAAACAUUUGUUUCUCAGUAUGUCGCUUAGAUAUUUGGUAUAUGAUAUCGAACAGUUUAUGCGCUUUUGAAAUUUACCCUGCGUAACCGAAUACUUUUCUUUAUAGGAGUUAUCUCCCCAAACACUGUUUUCCUUGUGUCCACAACUCUUUCGCAACCGUAAAAGAUUACGACAAAUUUAUUUUACAAAAUUGCUCGUUAUAUACUUCUCAUGAUUUGUCCUAUUUUGACCGAAGCGAUAUGAACGCUCCAUAUGAGAGUUAUUUCCCCUUAUGCAUUUGACAUAAGUGAUAUGCAUUUCUAUCUUGUAAACCAUAAGUGAUAGAGACCUAGGAUCUUUUGAUUUGAGGUCCUUGGUCCAAAAAAAUGAAAAUAAGGUCAAGGUCAAAGGUCAAGGUCAUAUUCUAAUUUUUGAAUUUGGCUUAUUUUCACUCAUUUUCAGAAAUCUUAUAAGAUAUCGACAAAAUAUUUUCACAAAAUUGUUAGUUACGACAUGUCGUAACACAUAAAUCUUAGUCGAAAGAGUACAUAGACAUUUGGCGAGAGUUUUUCCCCUUUUUAUAUCUAAUAUCAUACGUAUGGAGGACUAGAGUCUUUUUAUUUGAGGUCCUUGGUUUAUGACCUUGAAAUUGAGCUCAAGGUCAUAUGCUUAUUUAACGCUCUAGAUUUUGACCUUUGCUUUUACCUCAUAUGUACACAUGAUAAAGCCAUGGGACUUUUUGCAUUAGGCUGUAAGCAAUGUGACCCUUAAAAAAACAACCGGAAGUGACAUUUUGUCAAUCGGAAGUAGCCAUUUUUUGUACUAAUCAAUGUAAAAGUACAAAGAACCAUAUAUUUUU